GGCUUAACAGUUAACAGGUGUUGUUUGUGUGAUCAAGAGAGUGGGAAAUUCACUGGAGGUUCCUUAUGCUGUGCGCAUGUGAAAAAUUGCAUGGAAUGUAUGGCAAAACAUCAUGCCUUACUGAACACGUGCGUCCACUAGAAGUGGAGUAAAACGAGUGCACAGAGGCUUUGUGCAGUUCGCUGCCUGUUGCUCUGCAGGCCUGCCUGGCUCCAUGGAGAGACUUGCAGGCGUUUUGCUCUGUAGCGCAGUGGUAAGGCUCACGUUGCUGCAGCGCCCGCCAACCCUACCAGCAGCCUGGCUGUGUUGCCAUGGUGACCGAAUCUGAGCAGUGUCUGGCUCUCUCUCUUUCUUUCUAGAUUUUGCCCCCCUCAUCCCCCCCACUACUUCUCUUCAUCUUAUUCCCACUUUCUCUUCUUCACGUCUUAUAGUUCUCCUCCCUCACCCCAUCCACUCCUUUAAAUUCUCACUCUAUAUCCUAACUUCUCCCUGGUUCUUUUUUCCUCCCUCACUCUUCAUUUUUUCUAUCACGCAACUCAUCCACCCCCCCCCACCAAGCACACACAAACUCACAAACACACACUCCAUCACAGUGGCAGCCAAUGGAACGGCGCCAUCCAAUCAGACACGUUUGCAUAACGAGCUUGUUAUGCAGAGGCCUGUGGUUGCGAAGCCCGUGCUUCAGCACCCGUCUAGACAAAUCUCAUUUAUGCAUAAGAAGAUGGAGAGAGAGAGUGAGAGAGAGAGCGAGUGAGAGAAGAAAGAGCAAAUUGAAGAUUGUGGAUGGGGGAUGGGGGUGGAGAUGGAGAUGGAGGUGGAGGUGGAGGAGGAAAAAGCAAAGAAGCAGAACUGCCACUGUGAGCAGCCACAAGGACAAGCUGGAACUGGAACUGCAACAACCUGGUGGUGGCCCAGAGUUCAAUGUUAAACACAUAUCAUAGAUGAAGAGAUGAUUCUCCGGCGCAGCAGUAAAGUGGCUGCCUCUACUUUCAAAGGAUGAGAAAAAGGGAAGCAAAUAUACUGCGUCUCUCUCGAGCUUUUAUUCCUCCCACCAGCAGCCCUAACCUCAGACUGGGAUGUGCCACUGACAGUUUCUGACCCCAAUUGACUUUUAGACCCUGUCUGACACCAACCUUUGGGGAGCGAUUGGAAGAGAAUUACAGUGGCAGCAACCGCUCAGCAAGACGACAGGAGACAAAGACAGAGAGAGAGAAAAAAGGAAACAAAGACAGAAAGAAAAAAGAACAAAGAAAGAGAGAAAGAUGUUUGUGAAAAAGAGGAGAAUACCAGAGUGUGUUCCAUGGAGGUUACAACAGAGAGAGUCAGAGGGAGUCUCCCCUCCUCAUUAGCCCAGUGAGACCCAGCGGAGCUCAGAGUUUGCCACAAAGAGCCAAAGGGCCGGGUGGCAGCCUGGCCAGUCAAGCUCCUCACAGCGCUGCUGGCAGCUCCAGCUCAACACUGGGGAACAACCUGGCCAUGACACUGGUGCUGUGAAUGCCACUGCCAAUGUAGGGGAUGAAAACACUGAGAUUACACUGAAUUACUGUAAUUACUGAGGUUUUGUGUUUAGAAAACCAAGGAGGCGCAAGACAACUUGUUUAGAUUCUGACUUAUGCACAAUGCAUAAUUUAGGCAUUUAAUCAUUAGUCUUUGUAAUGUCGAACAUUUCACCAGUCUUUUGGGGGGGGGCUUGGCAUGUUUAUUGGUAAAGCCAUGCGCAUUUUAGGUGGUGUGCUGUGAAAAAAUGACAGCAGUUUUCCUAACUGAGUUAGCCAGGGUGGAAGACUGCUGCACAAAAACUCCUAUGGGGUGUUCACAGUAGUGUGUUAGCUACCUUCCUCUGGAGGACGUACAGAACAGAGGUAAAACUAGACACUGCUACCAGGGUGAUGCUGCAAAUGUAUAUUUAAAGGGAAAGUUACAUUUUUGAGCUAUUAGAAACUAGAAAUCGCAGGAAAAGAGAUAAUGAUGAAUGAGUAAACAGAGGAAUUAUUAAGAUGAAGAUCUGGAACAAGAGGAUAACACUACACCAUGUCCGCUUUGACUCCUAUUAUUUCAUAUCUGAUUAGUCUUUGUUACUGUUGCUGUCAUAGUGACUGACAGAAGAGUAGCUUAAUUAUAUUUCGUCAUCAGACCUUGGCUUGAUUUACAUUGAGGUCUAAGAGUACUGAUAAUACUUUUACAUACAUGAGUUUCAAAACAUAAAGUGGUUGAAAACAAUGUCUCCACCUAUGCACACCAAGUCAGCAAAAAAGUCAACUUUAAGGUACAUGUUGAGUUUAGGUCACAGAUUAGCUGUAGGUUUUGAAAUUAAAUGAUUGUGGCAUUUGCCAUCAGUUAAAGAAAAGAAGAAAAAGCCUUACUUUGCCAUUACACGAUUACAGUCAUGUUUUCCUUCGACUAGCCCACUGAUCCACAUCUUUCUUAGCCAGAGAUAAAAUGUUUGAGCACUUUACUGAAGGACAGAGCACUCCUAAUUUGGACCACAUGUGCUAUUUGCCAUCUGGUAUGAGUCAAGUCAAAUGGUUAAAUUGUCAGUUUUCUCUAGACACCACACUAUCUAAACUUACAAAAAUAACUGUUUUUGGUACUUUCUCCAAUAUUCCUGAACGUGACACCACUGUUACACUCAAUGCUUGUCUUCCAAGACCGACUGUGAACAGGAUUUGUGAUGUAAUUGUUGCAAAUUUGUUUCUGGAGCAUCCGAUACUCCUGAUGAGUUGCUGCUACAUUUAAGAGAACGUGUCCACUGCUUUACCAUGCUACUUUAAACUGUAAUCUCCUGAUUGUUGUUUCCUUCUCCAUCCUAAGUAUCACGCAUACAGAAAAAUGUGAUAUGAUAAACACUAUAGGAAAUUGACAUGAAAACGUCAUUCUUCAUCCUUAUUCUGUAAAUAGAUCAUGUCUCUAGAUAUUUUGUGUGAUCUCUCUACUUUUAGACCAAUGUUCUCUCUGUCUUGUUAUCAUUUAGAAGGCGUCUGGCUUAUACAGCAUCUUCAUUGUUGAAUACGUUAUUCUAAGGACAAGUUAAUGCUGUUACAAUUCUAUAUAAUUCUGAAUAAACCUUGAUG